UCGGGAAUUUUGGGCAAUGGGCGAAAGCCUGACCCAGCAACGCCGCGUGAAGGAUGAAGUAUUUCGGUAUGUAAACUUCGUAAGAAUAGGAAGAAUAAAUGACGGUACUAUUUGUAAGGUCCGGCUAACUACGUGCCAGCAGCCGCGGUAAUACGUAGGGACCAAGCGUUGUUCGGAUUUACUGGGCGUAAAGGGCGCGUAGGCGGCGUGGUAAGUCAUUUGUGAAAUCUCCGAGCUUAACUCGGAACGGUCAGAUGAUACUGCUGUGCUAGAGUACAGAAGGGGCAAUCGGAAUUCUUGGUGUAGCGGUGAAAUGCGUAGAUAUCAAGAGGAACACCUGAGGUGAAGACGGGUUGCUGGGCUGAUACUGACGCUGAGGCGCGAAAGCGUGGGGAGCAAACAGGAUUAGAUACCCCCGUAGUCCCUGAGCGGGCUGGCAAGGCGCAU
rnacentral:rRNA from 1 species